rnacentral:sRNA from 1 species
UGUUGCCCAGCUAGUGAAACUAUAAUCCUUCAUCUAGUUCAUCAUAUCCCAUGUCCCCUUCUCCACUAUACAAUUGCUGAACUUCUGCCUACCCCCAGUUUGUCCUUAAGGCAACCCCGUCACCCUCUAAACCACCCUUUGAAUCCAUCUGUACUUUCAGCACUUUAUGAGCUAUAUAGCUGACCAUCCAUGGGUUCUUUAAUGUCCUGCACCUAGUUCAAUAUUGUAUUGAAUUCUGAGCAUUGCCAAGCAUAUGAUGUCCUUGAGUUUCUCCAUUGCUUUUUUUUUUUUUAAUUUCAGAUUUUACGCUGCAGAAAUUGCCAUCGGUCUGUUCUUCUUACAGAGUAAGGGCAUCAUUUACCGUGACCUAAAACUUGACAACGUGAUGCUCGAUUCUGAGGGACACAUCAAGAUUGCCGAUUUUGGCAUGUGUAAGGAAAACAUCUGGGAUGGGGUGACAACCAAGACAUUCUGUGGCACUCCAGACUACAUCGCCCCCGAGAUAAUUGCUUAUCAGCCCUAUGGGAAGUCCGUGGAUUGGUGGGCAUUUGGAGUCCUGCUGUAUGAAAUGUUGGCUGGGCAGGCACCCUUUGAAGGGGAAGAUGAAGAUGAACUCUUCCAAUCCAUCAUGGAACACAACGUAGCCUAUCCCAAGUCUAUGUCCAAGGAAGCUGUGGCCAUCUGCAAAGGG